CUCUCUUCAAAAUUAAAAUAAAAACAAAAAAAUGGACCGGAAAAACGCUCUUCUUCUCGCGCUUAUAUGCGUCAUUGUAGCCGCCGUCGGUGGUCAAUCUCCCGCCGCUUCCCCGACGCUAGCUCCGCCGUCAUCUGUGAUCACUACUCCUGCGGCUUCACCUUCCAAGCCUAUUACUCCUGCUCCUGCCACAACACCAGUUGCCGCUCCGGUUGCAGCUCCACCGACGGUCGCUAUUCCUCCACCGGUGAGCUCUCCACCUGCUGCAGUGCCAGUUAGUGCUCCGCCUCCAGUGGUUGAAUCUCCACCUCCAGUAGUUGAAUCUCCUCCAGUUCCGGAACCAACGGCUGCUCCAGUUGAGGCUCCGGUUGCCGAAGUUCCUGCUCCUGCACCUACCAAGAAGAAGACCAAAAAGCAUACUGCAUCGUCUCCGGCGCCUUCACCGGAUAUGAUGGGACCACCUGCUCCUCCUAGUGAAGCUCCUGGACCUAGCGACGCUCUGUCCCCCGGUCCUUCUUCCGCCAUUGCCGACGACGUAAGUUUCUACCUACUACUACUCAUUCCGUCAUUCCUUUAAUCCAUCAACGGUUGUUACCUACUCUACUUAUUCCUUUAAUGCAAACAUUCAUCUAGAUCUGAUCAUCUUCCAUGUCCGAUUAUAUGUUUGUCUAAUCAAACAUGAUUUCAUAUACAUUGAGAUCCAUGCAAUAAGCAUCACCAUGUUUUAUAUAUUCAGAUUGACUUGAUUUAAUUUAAUAAUUUUAUCUUUUCCCCAAAAGAUCGAGAUCGGAUCUAGUAGUAGUAUUUGGAUCUAGUGAGAACAGAUAAUUACAUUACAUGAUUAUUUAUUUAAUUUGGUAAUUGUUGUUGAUGAUUAUAAUAUACUGAUAUAGUUGAGAACCUAUUAAUUGCAGAGUGGAGCAGAGAGAUUAAAGGGUGUGCAGAUGGUGGUCGGGAGCUUGGUGUUGGGGUGGACUGUUUUCAGCUGGCUCUAGGCCCUAAUGUAUCCAUUUUUUCCUCAUUUUAUUUAUUUUAUUUUAUUGUAUGAUCUGAUCUCCUUUUUUAUUUUUAUUAAUUUAUAUGUUGUUUAAUACCAUUUAUUUAUAAAUAAAUAAUUCACUGUU
rnacentral:lncRNA from 1 species